AUUCUAAAAGAAUAACUAUAUAGUUAACAUUUGAAAAUUGAUAAAGCCCCGCGCGUAGCACCGGUUAAUUCCUAGUCUUUAUCUUUAUAUAUAUAAAAAAAUGUUUUUUUUCUCUCUUUGUGCUGCCACCUAUGAUUUCAGGUCAGAAAGUUGUUUAUUGAUGUUGCGACAUGUGUCCUUCUUGCCAAAACGCAUCACUUCGUUAAACUAUUUGUUACGUGGGUUUUUUUAUUUGACUUGGGCCUUUCUUUUGUUUGAUUAUGCCAGCCAAUCGAGUUGUUUUUCAAUUGGAAACGCGGCGUUGAACGUCUUUACAUAUUAGGGUUUAUUUUUGCUUCGUCUCCGUCUCAGCCAUUCGAGAAUGCGACAGAACCAGAGUUCUGAGAGAUGUUUCUGCUUCUUAUUAUCAAUAUCUACUAGUUCAAGUCCAAGUCCUGAUGCUCCGUUUCUGGGAGGCAGGAACAUACGAUGCAGUGGCGAACUCAUGGGAGUGGAUAUUCUUCUACUGGAUUCUCAGGCUGCUGAAGGGGUUCCAAAGAUCAAGGAUGGAUACAGUUGAUGCUUGACGUCGCUACUUCUUCAAUGGAGUCACAAAUGAGUGUGAUCUUUGCUCAACUAUUCAGUAACUCCUUUUUUCAUCGGAGAAACCAGGAACUCAUCAAAGAGCUCAAUACUACCCCACCAUGAUCGAAAGAUCUCUACUUCCAAGCUAAGUACUCAUAGCCAUUUUGACUCAAAUCAAAUCUUGCUUCUUGAAACAGUAUUGGUCUAACUGGAGAUAUCUUCAGUACAAUGCUAUCCGGUUUCUCAUGACAAUAUUGGCGUCAUGUUUGGUUUAAUUUUCUAGAAACUGGAACGAAAAUAAGAGAGAAGGAGCAGGACCUGAAUAACUUCUUUGGAGUCAUCAGUCAUGUAUACUGAAACACUUUUCCUCGGUGCCACUAACGCUGCAACCCGCUAUUGCUCAAAGGUGUAAUGUAUCUGCCAUGAAAAAGUUGCUGGAAUGUCGUACGGUAUCAUCACAUCUCAAGUAGGAAACAGACAUUCGAUAGUGCAGAUGCUGGUGUCGGAGACAUGAGCCUUAUAAUGUUGCCGACGAAUGGGUUCUCGAACAUGACUUCUUACGAGUUGUAGCUGCUGUCCACAUAGGAUGGAUACUACUCUUUGACUUUGUCUUUGCUUAUUGUAACAAGUUCCUGAAAUUUCAAAAGAAGGUGAAGGAGAAGAACCUUUGUAGCAUAGUGUUUUGAAGGUGCUGGAUUCAUGUAAUCUUCCUGUUAUUAUAUGUACUGUUUCUAUUUAAUUAGUAACAACAACAAUAAUAACAGUUUACGUUAACAAUAUUACACUUUUGAUAUGAUUUUUUUCCAAACUA